GUCGAGAAUCUUUCACAAUGGGGGCAACCCUGAUGGAGCGACGCCGCGUGGAGGAUAAGGUCUUCGGAUUGUAAACUCCUGUCAUGCGUGAACAAGGUUGCUUGGAUAAUACCUGAGCAAAUUGAUGGUAGCGCAAGAGGAAGAGACGGCUAACUCUGUGCCAGCAGCCGCGGUAAUACAGAGGUCUCAAGCGUUGUUCGGAAUCACUGGGCGUAAAGGGUGCGUAGGUGGCGUGGCAAGUCAGAUGUGAAAGCCCGGGGCUCAACCUCGGAACUGCAGCCGAUACUGCCAUGCUAGAGUACUGGAGGGGUGACUAGAAUUCUCGGUGUAGCAGUGAAAUGCGUAGAUAUCGAGAGGAAUACCAAAGGCGUAGGCAGGUCACUGGACAGUUACUGACACUGAGGCACGAAGGCCAGGGGAGCGAACGGGAUUAGAAACCCCAGUAGUCC
rnacentral:rRNA from 1 species